GAGUUCGCGGGAGAGUAAGUUAUUGCCAGGGUUUUUAUUUUGUACUUCAAACCUUAAAUUUAUUUUUUAUAUUUUUUAAAUGUUCAUGUUUUUGAAUGUUUUAUUCAAAUAAUGUAAAAAAUAAAAUAGAUAUUGACAUGGAUUGAACAAAAGAUAUAUAUUAUUUUAUGUUGCAUAAACAAAUUGGCAAAAUAGAGAUGGAAGAUAAAAAUAUGGUCAAAGUAAUAAGAGUCUAUGGUGAAUGCC
rnacentral:misc_RNA from 1 species